rnacentral:rRNA from 1 species
AACGAACGCUGGCGGCAUGCCUAACACAUGCAAGUCGAACGAGACCUUCGGGUCUAGUGGCGCACGGGUGCGUAACGCGUGGGAACCUGCCCUUAGGUUCGGAAUAACUCCCCGAAAGGGGUGCUAAUACCGGAUAAUGUCUUCGGACCAAAGAUUUAUCGCCUUUGGAUGGUCCCGCGUUGGAUUAGCUAGUUGGUAGGGUAAAAGCCUACCAAGGCGACGAUCCAUAGCUGGUCUGAGAGGAUGAUCAGCCACACUGGGACUGAGACACGGCCCAGACUCCUACGGGGGGCAGCAGUGGGGAAUAUUGGACAAUGGGCGAAAGCCUGAUCCAGCAAUGCCGCGUGAGUGAUGAAGGCCUUAGGGUUGUAAAGCUCUUUUACCCGGGAUGAUAAUGACAGUACCGGGAGAAUAAGCUCCGGCUAACUCCGUG